rnacentral:rRNA from 1 species
CCUUGAUGACGACUGGCGCACGGGUGAGUAACGCGUAUCCAACCUUCCCAUAACUACGGGAUAACCCGUUGAAAGACGGCCUAAUACCGUAUGAUAUCGUUUGCUGACAUCAAAUAACGAUUAAAGGUUUAGCGGUUAUGGAUGGGGAUGCGUCUGAUUAGCUUGUUGGCGGGGUAACGGCCCACCAAGGCUACGAUCAGUAGGGGUUCUGAGAGGAAGGUCCCCCACAUUGGAACUGAGACACGGUCCAAACUCCUACGGGAGGCAGCAGCU